CAGCAGCCGCGGGAAUACGUAGGGUGCGAGCGUUAAUCGGAAUUACUGGGCGUAAAGCGUGCGCAGGCGGUUGUGUAAGACAGGUGUGAAAUCCUCGGGCUCAACCUGGGAACUGCACUUGUGACUGGCAAGCUAGAGUGUGGCAGAGGGGGGUGGAAUUCCGCGUGUAGCAGUGAAACGCGUAGAUAUGCGGAGGAACACCGAUGGCGAAGGCAGCCCCCUGGGCCAACACUGACGCUCAUGCACGAAAGCGUGGGGAGCAAACAGGAUUAGAUACCCCGGUAGUCCCUGUCUCUUAUAC
rnacentral:rRNA from 1 species